rnacentral:rRNA from 1 species
CAUGCAAGUCGAACGGCAGCACGGGGGCAACCCUGGUGGCGAGUGGCGAACGGGUGAGUAACGCAUCGGAACGUGCCCAGUAGUGGGGGAUAACACAUCGAAAGAUGUGCUAAUACCGCAUACGCACUACGGUGGAAAGCGGGGGAUCGCAAGACCUCGCGCUAUUGGAGCGGCCGAUGUCCGAUUAGCUAGUUGGUGGGGUAAUGGCCCACCAAGGCUACGAUCGGUAGCUGGUCUGAGAGGAUGAUCAGCCACACUGGGACUGAGACACGGCCCAGACUCCUACGGGAGGCAGCAGUGGGGAAUUUUGGACAAUGGGCGCAAGCCUGAUCCAGCCAUGCCGCGUGAGUGAAGAAGGCCUUCGGGUUGUAAAGCUCUUUCGGCCGGAACGAAAUCGUCCGGGCUAAUACCCCGGAUGGAUGACGGUACCGGAAGAAGAAGCACCGGCUAACUACGUGCCAGCAGCCGCGGUAAUACGUAGGGUGCAGGCGUUAAUCGGAAUUACUGGGCGUAAAGCGUGCGCAGGCGGCUACUCAAGUCAGAUGUGAAAUCCCCGGGCUUAACCUGGGAACUGCGUUUGAAACUGGGUGGCUGGAGUGCGGCAGAGGGGGUGGAAUUCCACGUGUAGCAGUGAAAUGCGUAGAUAUGUGGAGGAACACCGAUG